CCUACGGGAGGCAGCAGUGGGGAAUAUUGCGCAAUGGACGAAAGUCUGACGCAGCAACGCCGCGUGAGGGAUGAAGUACAUCGAGAUGUAAACCUCUUUCAGCAGGGACGAAGCGAAAGUGACGGUACCUGCAGAAGAAGCACCGGCUAACUACGUGCCAGCAGCCGCGGUAAUACGUAGGGUGCAAGCGUUGUCCGGAUUUAUUGGGCGUAAAGGGCUCGUAGGCGGUCUGUCGCGUCGGAUGUGAAAACUCGGAGCUUAACUCCGGGCCUGCAUUCGAUACGGGCAGACUAGAGUUCGGUAGGGGAGACUGGAAUUUCUGGUGUAGCGGUGGAAUGCGCAGAUAUCAGGAAGAACACCGAUGGCGAAGGCAAGUCUCUGGGCCGAUACUGACGCUGAGGAGCGAAAGCAUGGGGAGCGAACAGGAUUAGAUACCCUGGUAGUCCAUGCCGUAAACGGUGGGCGCUAGGUGUGGGGAAUCAUCUACAUUCUCCGCGCCGCAGCUAACGCAUUAAGCGCCCCGCCUGGGGAGUACGGCCGCAAGGCUAAAACUCAAAGGAAUUGACGGGG
rnacentral:rRNA from 1 species